AUGAGGGCUAGAGGGUGGUCUUGGAGCAAGAAAAGUGUUGAGUCCAGGCGCAUUAUGGUACGACUGAGACUGAGUUGGGCAGGAGCAAGCGGUUGAAUUGGCCUGACUCUUCAAGACCAAAUAUACUCGGCUUCCUCUUCAUCAAGUCACGAAAUUCGACCUUAG
rnacentral:rRNA from 1 species